rnacentral:rRNA from 1 species
GCCAGAGAGGGUGAGAGCCCCGUAAGCGAAAUCCAAAGAAGGCCUAUCAGUAUCCUGAGUAGGGCGGGACACGUGAAAUCCCGUUUGAAUCCGCGAGGACCAUCUCGCAAGGCUAAAUACUAACCAGUGACCGAUAGUGAACCAGUACCGUGAGGGAAAGGUGAAAAGAACCCCGGGAGGGGAGUGAAAGAGAACCUGAAACCGUGUGCCUACAAGUAGUCAGAGCCUGUUAACGGGUAAUGGCGUGCCUUUUGUAGAAUGAACCGGCGAGUUGCGUUAGUCAGCAAGGUUAAGUCAGAAAAGAUGGAGCCGUAGCGAAAGCGAGUCUGAAUAGGGCGAGCAGUUGGCUGACGCAGACCCGAAACCAAGUGACCUACCCAUGACCAGGUUGAAGGCGCGGUAAAACGCGCUGGAGGACCGAACCCACGUAAGUUGAAAAUUGCGGGGAUGAGUUGUGGGUAGCGGUGAAAUUCCAAACGAACUUGGAGAUAGCUGGUUCUCUCCGAAAUAGCUUUAGGGCUAGCCUCGCAAAGAGGAUGCUGGAGGUAGAGCUCUGUUUGGACUAGGGGCCCGUCAAGGGUUACUGAAUUCAGAUAAACUGCGAAUUCCAGACAUUUAUGUGCGGGAGUCAGACUGCGAGUGAUAAGAUCCGUAGUCGAAAGGGAAACAGCCCAGAUCACCAGUUAAGGUCCCAAAAUUCAUGCUAAGUGGAAAAGGAUGUGGAGUUGCGCAGACAACUAGGACGUUGGCUCAGAAGCAGCCAUCAUUCAAAGAGUGCGUAAUAGCUCACUAGUCGAGUGACGCCGCGCCGAAAAUUUACCGGGGGCUAAGCAUGAUACCGAAACUGUGGAUGUGCAUUUAUGCACGUGGUAGGAGAGCGUUCUAGCGGCGGUGAAGCAUGACCGAGAGGACAUGUGGAGCUUCUAGAAGUGAGAAUGCCGGUAUGAGUAACGAAAGACAGGUGAGAAUCCUGUCCGCCGCAAGACUAAGGUUUCCUGGGGCAGGCUCGUCCGCCCAGGGUAAGUCGGGACCUAAGGCGAGGCCGAGAGGCGUAGUCGAUGGACAACAGGUUGAAAUUCCUGUACUGCACCGAAUCGUUAUGAGCGAUGGAGGGACGCAGGAGGCUAGCAGCGCGUGGUGCUGGAUACCACGUUCAAGCGUCAAGUCUGAGAGCGAGUCAAAUGCUUGCUCUCAUAAGGACAAGGCGUGAUGAGGAGCGAAAUUAAAGUAGCGAAGGCUGCGACGUCACACUGCCGAGAAAAGCUUCUAGCCAGAGACGGUGCACCCGUACCGCAAACCGACACAGGUAGUCGAGGAGAGUAUCCUCAGGUGAGCGAGAGAACUCUCGUUAAGGAACUCGGCAAAAUGGCCCCGUAACUUCGGGAGAAGGGGCGCUGGUCGCAAGAUCAGCCGCAGUGAAAAGGCCCAAGCAACUGUUUAUCAAAAACACAGGCAUCUGCAAAAUCGUAAGAUGAAGUAUAGGUGCUGACACCUGCCCGGUGCUGGAAGGUUAAGAGGAGAGCUUAGCGCAAGCGAAGGUUUGAAUUGAAGCCCCAGUAAACGGCGGCCGUAACUAUAACGGUCCUAAGGUAGCGAAAUUCCUUGUCGGGUAAGUUCCGACCUGCACGAAAGGUGUAAUGAUUUGGGCACUGUCUCAACGAGAGACUCGGUGAAAUUAUAAUACCCGUGAAGAUGCGGGUUACCCGCGACAGGACGGAAAGACCCCAUGGAGCUUUACUGCAGUUUAAUAUUGGGUAUCUGUCAAGCAUGUACAGGAUAGGUAGGAGCCGGAGAAGAUAGGACGCCAGUCUUAUCUGAGGCGCUGUUGGGAUACUACCCUUGCUUGACGGAUGCUCUAACUUAGGCCUGUGAUCCAGGCCGAGGACAGUGUUUGACGGGCAGUUUGACUGGGGCGGUCGCCUCCUAAAGUGUAACGGAGGCGCCCAAAGGUUCCCUCAGAAUGGUUGGAAAUCAUUCGCAGAGUGUAAAGGUAAAAGGGAGCUUGACUGCGAGAGAGACAACUCGAGCAGGUACGAAAGUAGGGCUUAGUGAUCUGGUGGUACCGUAUGGAAGGGCCAUCACUCAACGGAUAAAAGCUACCCUGGGGAUAACAGGCUUAUCUCCCCCAAGAGUUCACAUCGACGGGGAGGUUUGGCACCUCGAUGUCGGCUCGUCGCAUCCUGGGGCUGAAGUCGGUCCCAAGGGUUGGGCUGUUCGCCCAUUAAAGCGGCACGCGAGCUGGGUUCAGAACGUCGUGAGACAGUUCGGUCCCUAUCCGUCGUGGGCGCAGGAAAUUUGAGAGGAGCUGUCCUUAGUACGAGAGGACCGGGAUGGACGCACCGCUGGUGUACCAGUUGUCUUGCCAAAGGCAUCGCUGGGUAGCUAUGUGCGGACGGGAUAAGCGCUGAAAGCAUCUAAGUGCGAAGCCCCCCUCAAGAUGAGAUUUCCCAUUUCUUCAAGAAAGUAAGACACCUCAGAGACGAUGAGGUAGAUAGGCCGGGAGUGGAAGAGCCGUGAGGCUUGGAGCGGACCGGUACUAAUCAGUCGAGGACUUGACCAAA